GCAGCGCUGGUUCAGUGGUAGAAUUCUCAACUUCUACAUGAGAGACCUGGGUUCGAUUCCAGGCCAGUGCA
rnacentral:tRNA from 1 species